rnacentral:rRNA from 1 species
AUUGAACGCUGGCGGCGUGCCUAACACAUGCAAGUCGAGCGGUAACAGGUGUAGCAAUACAUGCUGACAAGCGGCGAACGGGUGAGUAAUGCUUCGGAAUCUACCCAAUGGUGGGGAAUAACCAGCCGAAAGGUUGGCUAAUACCGCAUACGUCCCACGGGAGAAAGCAGGGGAUCGCAAGACCUUGCGCCAAUGGAUGAGCCGAAGUCGGAUUAGCUAGUUGGAGGGUAACGGCCUACCAAGGCGACGAUCCGUAGCUGGUCUGAGAGGACGACCAGCCACACUGGGACUGAGACACGGCCCAGACUCCUACGGGAGGCAGCAGUGGGGAAUAUUGGACAAUGGGGGAAACCCUGAUCCAGCGACGCCGCGUGUGUGAAGAAGGCCUGCGGGUUGUAAAG